rnacentral:lncRNA from 1 species
AACACGACAACUACCACAAUCUGUAGAACCACAACAACAACCACAAUCAGGAAAAAAGCUGGUAAAAAAUAAUAUACGCCCUUCAAACAACCAAAUAUUAUGUCAAAUCUGGCUAUUUUGAAUCAGUGAAAUAAUUUUUCAGCGAAGCAGAAGUUGUGAAGUCUUUAACGC